GAUGAACGCUGGCGGCGUGCCUAAUACAUGCAAGUCGAGCGAAUGGAUUAAGAGCUUGCUCUUAUGAAGUUAGCGGCGGACGGGUGAGUAACACGUGGGUAACCUGCCCAUAAGACUGGGAUAACUCCGGGAAACCGGGGCUAAUACCGGAUAACAUUUUGAACCGCAUGGUUCGAAAUUGAAAGGCGGCUUCGGCUGUCACUUAUGGAUGGACCCGCGUCGCAUUAGCUAGUUGUUGAGGUAACGGCUCACCAAGGCAACGAUGCGUAGCCGACCGGAGAGGGUGAUCGGCCACACUGGGACGGAGACACGGCCCAGACUCCUACGGGAGGCAGCAGUAGGGAAGCUUCCGCAAUGGACGAAAGUCUGACGGAGCAACGCCGCGUGAGUGAUGAAGGCUUUCGGGUCGUAAAACUCUGUUGUUAGGGAAGAACAAUUGCUAGUUGAAUAAGCUGGCACCUUGACGGUACCUAACCAGAAAGCCACGGCUAACUACGUGCCAGCAGCCGCCGUAA
rnacentral:rRNA from 1 species